UACGUAGGGGCAAGCGUUAUCCGGAAUCACUGGGCGUAAAGGGUGCGUAGGCGGCCUAUCAAGUCAGGGGUGAAAGGCAUUGGCUCAACCAAUGUAAGCCUUUGAAACUGUUGGGCUUGAGUGCAGGAGAGGUAAGUGGAAUUCCUAGUGUAGAGGUGAAAUUCGUAGAUAUUAGGAGGAACACCAGUGGCGAAGGCGACUUACUGGACUGUAACUGACGCUGAGGCACGAAAGCGUGGGGAGCGAACAGG
rnacentral:rRNA from 1 species